UGCAAGUCGAACGAGAACGGGUCUAGCUUGCUAGACUGUCAGCUAAGUGGCGGACGGGUGAGUAAUACAUAGCUAACAUGCCCAUUAGAGAGGGAUAACUACUAGAAAUGGUAGCUAAUACUUCAUACUCCUUUAUAUCACAAGAUAUAAAGGGAAAAAUUUAUUGCUAAUGGAUUGGGCUAUGACCUAUCAGCUAGUUGGUAAGGUAAGAGCUUACCAAGGCUAUGACGGGUAACUGGUUUGAGAGGAUGAUCAGUCACACUGGAACUGAGACACGGUCCAGACUUCUACGGAAGGCAGCAGUAGGGAAUAUUGCACAAUGGGGGAAACCCUGAUGCAGCAACGCCGCGUGGAGGAUGACGCAUUUCGGUGUGUAAACUCCUUUUAACAAGGAAGAUAAUGACGGUACUUGUUGAAUAAGGACCGGCUAACUCCGUGCCAGCAGCCGCGGUAAUACGGAGGGUCCAAGCGUUACUCGGAAUUACUGGGCGUAAAGGGUGCGUAGGCGGAUUAAUAAGUCAGAUGUGAAAUCCUAUGGCUCAACCAUAGAACUGCAUUUGAAACUGUUAGUCUAGAGUCCGGAAGGGGCAGAUGGAAUUAGUAGUGUAGGGGUAAAAUCCGUAGAUAUUACUAGGAAUACCAAAAGCGAAGGCGAUCUGCUAGUACGGUACUGACGCUAAGGCACGAAAGCGUGGGGAGCAAACAGGAUUAGAUACCCUGGUAGUCCACGCCCUAAACGAUGAAUGCUAGUCGUUGGCACCACAGGUGUCAGUGAUGCAGCUAACGCAAUAAGCAUUCCGCCUGGGGAGUACGGUCGCAAGAUUAAAACUCAAAGGAAUAGACGGGG
rnacentral:rRNA from 1 species